rnacentral:lncRNA from 13 species
GGGUUCCAUUUGGGAAGCACCCUAAAUGAUAACAAUUUAUUUAACUGUAUUAACUUUAUGCAUGUUGACGAGUCGACAGGUGAGUUAGGUUGAAACUUUACAGGUGAGUUAGGUUGAAACUUUACAGGUGAGUUAGGUUGAAACUUUACAGGUGAGUUAGGUUGAAACUUUACAGGUGAGUUAGGUUGAAACUUUACAGGUGAGUUAGGUUGAAACUUUACAGGUGAGUUAGGUUGAAACUUUACAGGUGAGUUAGGUUGAAACUUUACAGGUGAGUUAGGUUGAAACUUUACAGGUGAGUUAGGUUGAAACUUUACAGGGGAGUUAGGUUGAAACUUUACAGGUGAGUUAGGUUGAAACUUUACAGGUGAGUUGGUUGUGGUGACCUAUCUCUCCCGUCUCAUCUCUGUCUAUACAGAAGUUUCCACGACAACCAUAGAGGUCAUGGCCAUAGUAUUCUGCUGUUUCCUCAUGCUGACCCUGGCAGGGGGUGUAGCCUGUGUGAUGAGGAUGCUCAACCGCCAACGAGUGAAAGACGAUUCAGCGAACAUUUCUGCAUCAUUCCAGAUCCACUUCCUCUGUCUGACAUCACUACCAGGUCAGGGGUCAAGCAAGUGGACACUUCCUGUGUUGACAGUGACGUUGAGAAUCAGACCCUUGAGAUCACAAUAUAACCGACAUGAUGAAAUAAACCCAACCUCAGCCCGACGAGUUCCUCACAAAAUAAUCCUUCAAUGUAAUUUUAUCCAACAAACUAUUUAUAACGUUUUUUUCAAACACUUCAGCCCAUUUUUCAGAUUGAAGUGUUAUAUCUUCAAAACUCUUACAACAAAUCUCAAAACUCAUAUUGAUUGCAGUACUCGCGGGGGUAAUACACUCGACCACUGCUACUCUAACUUCCGUGAUGCAUACAAAGCCCUUCCCUGCCAUUCCUUCGGCAAAUCCGACCACGGCGCCAUCUUGCUCCUACCGUCUUAUAGGUAGAAACUCAAACAGGAUGUACCAGUGACUAGAACCAUUCAACGCUGGUCUGACCAAUCGGAAUCCAUUCUUCAAGAUUGUUUGAUCACGCAGACUGGGAAAUGUUCCGGUCAGCCUCAGAGAACAACAUCGAUCUAUACGCUGACUCUGUGAGUGAGUUUAUAAAGAAGUGCAUUGGAGAUGUUUUAACCACUGUGCCUAUUAAAACCUUCCCUAACCAGAAACCGUGGAUGGAUGGCGUAUGUGGCAGGGCCUACAGGAAAUCAUGGACUACAAAAAGAAAACCAGCUCUGUCACAGACACCGACGUCAUGCUUCAAGACAAACUGAACACCUUCUUUGCCCGCUUUGAGGAUAUACAGUGCCAACGUUGAGGCCCGCUAUCAAGGACUGAGCCUCCCCUUUCCUUCUCUGUGGCCGACGUGAGUAAAACAUUUAAACGUGUUAACCCUGUUGGCCCAGACGGCAUCCUUAGCCACGUCCCCAGAGCAUGUGUCCCCAGAGCAUGUGUCCCCAGAGCAUGUGUCCCCAGAGCAUGUGUCCCCAGAGCAUGUGUCCCCAGAGCAUGUGUCCCCAGAGCAUGUGUCCCCAGAGCAUGUGUCCUCAGAGCAUGUGUCCUCAGAGCAUGUGUCCUCAGAGCAUAUUCAAUCGCUCCCUGUCCCAGUCUGCUGUCCCCACAUGCUUCAAGAUGGCCACCAUUGUUCCUGUACCCAGGAAGGCAAAGAUAACUGAACAAAAUGACUACUGCUCCGUAGCACUCACUUCUGUCAUCAUGACGUGCUUAGAGACUAGUCAAGGAUCAUAUCACCUCCACCUUACCGGCCACCCUAGAGCCAAUUCAGUUUGUAUACCACCCCAACAGGUGCACAGACAAUGCAAUUGCCAUCACACUGCACACUGCCCUAUCCCAUCUGAACAAGAGGAAUACCUAUGUAAGAAUGCUGUUCAUUGACUACAGCUCAGCAUUCAACACCAUGGUACCAUCCAAGCUCAUCAUCAAGCUGGAGGCCCUGGGUCUCAACCCCUGUGCAAUUGGGUCCUGGACGUUCUGACGGGCCUCCCCCAGGUGGUGAAGGUAGGAAACAACAUCUCCACUUCGCUGACCGUCUUACGGGCACCUACUCACUCAACGUCAACAAAACAAAGGAGAUGAUCGUGGACUUCAGGAAACAGCAGAGGGAGCACCCCUUUAUCCACAUCGAAAGGACAGCAGUGGAGAAGGUGGAAAGUUUUAAGUUCCUCGGCGUACACAUCACAGACAAACUAAAAUGGUCCACCCACACAGACAGCGUGGUGAAGAAGGCGCAACAGCAUCUCUUCAACCUCAGGAGGCUGAAGAAAUUUGGCUUGUCAUCCAACACCCUGACAAACUUCUACAGAUGCACAAUCGAGAGCAUCCUGUCGGGCUGUAUCACCGCCUGGUACGGCAACUACACCGUCCUCAACCGCAAGGCUCUCCAGAGGGUAGUGAGGUCUGCACAACUCAUCACCGGGGCAAACUACCUGCCCUCCAUGACUCCUACAGCGCCCAAUGUCACAGGAAGGCCAUAAAGAUCAUCAAGGACAACAACCACCCGAGCCACUGCCUGUUCACCCCGCUAUCAUCCAGAAGGCGAGGUCAGUACAGGUGCAUCAAAGCUGGGACCGAGAGACUGAAAAACAGCUUCUAUCUCAAGGCCAUCAGACUGCUAAACAGCAAUGACUAACUCAGAGAGGCUGCUGCCUACAUUGAGACCCAAUCACUGGCCACUUUAACAAUGGAUCACGAGCCACUUUAAAUAAUGGCAGUUUAAUAAUGUUUACAUAUCUUCCAUUACUCAUAUCACAUGUAUACACUGUAUUUUAUACCAUCUAUUGCACCUUGCCUAUCCCGCUCGGCUAUCGCUCAUCCAUAUAUUUAUAUGUACAUAUUCUCAUCCCCCCUCUUUAGAUGUGUGUGUAUUAGGUAGUUGUUGGGGAAUUGUUAGAUUACUUGUUAGAUAUUACUGCACUGUCGGAACUAGAAGCACAAGCAUUUCGCUACACUCGCAUUAACAUCUGCUAACCAUGUGUAUGUGACCAAUAAAAUUUGAUUUGAUUUAUACAGUACAUAUGUCAGUCUUACUGGUUCAUUAUCCUUAUACAGUACAUGUGCAGAUCAGAUAUAUGGGGUAUUGUGUGGGUAUUGUAAUGCAGUAGGCUACAGUUAUAACGUCCUGGUGGUAGUCUGGUGUAGCUAUUUCUGCCCCAUGCAACACUGUUCAGCUACACCUUUUCCUGUGUGCCUCGUCAACUGAUAUGGUAUCGCCGGUCUCUCCGCUUGAAAUUCAUCAGUGUAUCAAUGAAAUCUGGAUAACGAGUAGAAUAUAUUGUUGUAUUCAACUCAGGUAUCAAUAUAUUGUUAUAUACAACCCAGGUAUAAAUAUAUUGCUAUACAACUUAGGUAUAAAUAUAUUGUAAUAUACAACGCAGGUAUAAAUAUAUUGUAAUAUACACCCCAGGUAUAAAUAUAUUGUAAUAUACACCCCAGGUAUAAAUAUAUUGUAAUGUACAACCCAGGUAUAAAUAUAUUGUAAUAUAUAACCCAGGUAUUUCAGCAGUGCAUUGUACAGCACAGUGUAAUUCCGAAUGGAAGCACUUCCAGUGACUCUCCACGUUGUCCAGUUGAAGUCCCCUGGCUGAUGGAGAAUGAUGAUGUAGUAUUUACAGACACAUACAUAUAGUAUUUGAUUUUAAAUUCCAACAUAAAUUGAUGUCAAUUGAUACAUUUAUGUACAUUCAUUUUACAGUGUUCAGUAGUUAUGAAACUAUAUAGGUAAGCUAAGCACUUCUCCAUUUUGGUUCAGUAGUUAUGAAACUAUAUAGGUAAGCUAAGCACUACUCCAUUUUGGUUCAGUAGUUAUGAAACUAUAUAGGUAAGCUAAGCACUACUCCAUUUUGGUUCAGUAGUUAUGAAACUAUAUAGGUAAGCUAAGCACUUCUCCAUUUUGGUUCAGUAGUUAUGAAACUAUAUAGGUAAGCUAAGCACUACUCCAUUUUGGUUCAGUAGUUAUGAAACUAUAUAGGUAAGCUAAGCACUACUCCAUUUUGGUUCAGUAGUUAUGCGUUUUGAGCUGUUUGAUUAAGUGACAAAUGUAUUGUUGACAAGUGACAAGAAAAUCAUAUCCAAAGAAAAGUGAAUAUUGCAUUUUGAAAGGCAGAUACUUGAAUACUUGAAUAUGUGUGCAAAUUGAAAGAGUGA